rnacentral:rRNA from 1 species
GAGUUUGAUCAUGGCUCAGAUUGAACGCUGGCGGCAUGCUUAAUACAUGCAAGUCGAACGGUAACAUGCUCUUCGGAGUGAUGACGAGUGGCGGACGGGUGAGUAAUACAUAGGAAUCUACCUAGUAGUGGGGGACAACCUGGGGAAACCCAGGCUAAUACCGCAUGUUUCUUACGAGAUAAAGAGGGCCUCUUCUUGAAAGCUCUUGCUAUUAGAUGAGCCUAUGUCGGAUUAGCUAGUUGGUGAGGUAAAGGCUCACCAAGGCGACGAUCCGUAGCUGGUCUGAGAGGAUGAUCAGCCACACUGGGACUGAGACACGGCCCAGACUCCUACGGGAGGCAGCAGUGGGGAAUAUUGGACAAUGGACGCAAGCCUGAUCCAGCAAUGCCGCGUGUGUGAAGAAGGCCCUGCGGGUUGUAAAGCACUUUCAAUUGGGAAGAAAGAUUUAGAGUUAAUACCUCUUAAUAUUGACGUUACCAAUAGAAGAAGCACCGGCUAACUCUGUGCCAGCAGCCGCGGUAAUACAGAGGGUGCGAGCGUUAAUCGGAAUUACUGGGCGUAAAGAGUACGUAGGUGGUUAAAUCAGUCGGAUGUGAAAGCCCCAGGCUUAACUUGGGAAUUGCAUUCGAUACUGUUUGACUAGAGUACAGUAGAGAGAAGCGGAAUUCCUAGUGUAGCGGUGAAAUGCGUAGAUAUUAGGAAGAACACCAGUGGCGAAGGCGGCUUCUUGGAGAUACUGACACUGAGGUACGAAAGCGUGGGGAGCAAACAGGAUUAGAUACCCUGGUAGUCCACGCCCUAAACGAUGAGAACUAGAUGUUGGAGGAAUUUAUAAUCCUUUAGUAUCGUAGCUAACGCGAUAAGUUCUCCGCCUGGGGAGUACGGCCGCAAGGUUAAAACUCAAAUGAAUUGACGGGGGCCCGCACAAGCGGUGGAGCAUGUGGUUUAAUUCGAUGCAACGCGAAGAACCUUACCUGGCCUUGACAUCCUUGGAAUUUCGCAGAAACGUGAAAGUGCCUUCGGGAGCCAAGAGACAGGUGCUGCAUGGCUGUCGUCAGCUCGUGUCGUGAGAUGUUGGGUUAAGUCCCGCAACGAGCGCAACCCCUAUCUCUAGUUGCCAGCGAUUAUGGUGGGAACUCUAAGGAGACUGCCGGUGAUAAGCCGGAGGAAGGUGGGGACGACGUCAAGUCAUCAUGGCCCUUACGGGAUGGGCUACACACGUGCUACAAUGGUGCAUACAGAGGGUUGCCAAGCCGCAAGGUGGAGCUAAUCCCAGAAAGUGCAUCUUAGUCCGGAUCGCAGUCUGCAACUCGACUGCGUGAAGUUGGAAUCGCUAGUAAUCGCGAAUCAGCAAUGUCGCGGUGAAUACGUUCCCGGGCCUUGUACACACCGCCCGUCACACCAUGGGAGUGGGUUGCACCAGAAGUAGCUAGACUAACCUUCGGGAGGUCGGUUACCACGGUGUGGUUCAUGACUGGGGUGAAGGUCGUGACAAGGUAAC